rnacentral:rRNA from 2 species
CCUAUGGGGGGCAGCAGGCGCGAAAACUCUGCAAUAAGCGAAAGCUUGACAGGGUUAUUCUGAGUGAUUUCCGCUAAGGAAAUCUUUUGGCACCUCUAAAAAUGGUGCAGAAUAAGGGGUGGGCAAGCCUGGUGUCAGCCGCCGCGGUAAUACCAGCACCCCGAGUGGUCGGGACGAUUAUUGGGCCUAAAGCAUCCGUAGCCGGUUCUACAAGUCUUCCGUUAAAUCCACCUGCUCAACAGUUGGGCUGCGGAGGAUACUAUAGAGCUAGGAGGCGGGAGAGGCAAGCGGUACUCAGUGGGUAGGGGUAAAAUCCGUUGAUCCAUUGAAGACCACCAGUGGCGAAGGCGGCUUGCCAGAACGCACUCGACGGUGAGGGAUGAAAGCUGGGGGAGCAAACCGGAUUAGAUACCCCGGUAGUCC